rnacentral:rRNA from 1 species
AUUGAACGCUGGCGGCAUGCCUUACACAUGCAAGUCGAACGGUAACGCGGGGGCAACCCUGGCGACGAGUGGCGAACGGGUGAGUAAUAUAUCGGAACGUGCCCUAGAGUGGGGGAGUAACGUAGCGAAAGUUACGCUAAUACCGCAUACGAUCUAUGGAUGAAAGUGGGGGAUCGCAAGACCUCAUGCUCCUGGAGCGGCCGAUAUCUGAUUAGCUAGUUGGUAGGGAAAAGCCUACCAAGGCGACGAUCAGUAGCUGGUCUGAGAGGACGACCAGCCACACUGGGACUGAGACACGGCCCAGACUCCUACGGGAGGCAGCAGUGGGGAAUUUUGGACAAUGGGGGCAACCCUGAUCCAGCAAUGCCGCGUGUGUGAAGAAGGCCUGGUGUAAG